rnacentral:rRNA from 1 species
AGUGAACGCUGGCGGUAGGCCUAACACAUGCAAGUCGAACGGCAGCACAGGAGAGCUUGCUCUCUGGGUGGCGAGUGGCGGACGGGUGAGGAAUACAUCGGAAUCUACUUUUUCGUGGGGGAUAACGUAGGGAAACUUACACUAAUACCGCAUACGACCUACGGGUGAAAGCAGGGGACCUUCGGGCCUUGCGCGAUUGAAUGAGCCGAUGUCGGAUUAGCUAGUUGGCGGGGUAAAGGCCCACCAAGGCGACGAUCCGUAGCUGGUCUGAGAGGAGGAUCAGCCACACUGGAGUUGAGACACGGUCCAGACUCCUACGGGAGGCAGCAGUGGGGAAUAUUGGACAGUGGGCGCAAGCCUGAUCCAGCCAUACCGAGUGGGUGAAGAAGGCCUUCGGGUUGUAAAGCCCUUUUGUUGGGAAAGAAAUCCAGCUGGCUAAUACCCGGUUGGGAUGACGGUACCCAAAGAAUAAGCACCGGCUAACUUCGUGCCAGCCGCCGCCGUAA